GCUUUCCUGUGGCUCAGUCAGGAGAGCAUUACGCUAGCAACGCAAAGGUUGUAGUUUCAAACCCCAGGGAAAGCA